rnacentral:tRNA from 1 species
GCCACCUUAGCUCAGUCGGCAGAGCGCGUCUUUCGUAAAGACGGGGUCCCCAGUUCGAUUCUGGGAGGUGGCU